GAUGAACGCUGGCGGCGUGCCUAAUACAUGCAAGUCGAGCGAACAGAUGAGGAGCUUGCUCCUCUGACGUUAGCGGCGGACGGGUGAGUAACACGUGGAUAACCUACCUAUAAGACUGGGAUAACUUCGGGAAACCGGAGCUAAUACCGGAUAAUAUAUUGAACCGCAUGGUUCAAUAGUGAAAGACGGUUUUGCUGUCACUUAUAGAUGGAUCCGCGCCGCAUUAGCUAGUUGGUAAGGUAACGGCUUACCAAGGCAACGAUGCGUAGCCGACCUGAGAGGGUGAUCGGCCACACUGGAACUGAGACACGGUCCAGACUCCUACGGGAGGCAGCAAUAGGGAAUCUUCCGCAAUGGGCGAAAGCCUGACGGAGCAACGCCGCGUGAGUGAUGAAGGUCUUCGGAUCGUAAAACUCUGUUAUUAGGGAAGAACAAAUGUGUAAGUAACUAUGCACGUCUUGACGGUACCUAAUCAGAAAGCCACGGCUAACUACGU
rnacentral:rRNA from 1 species